rnacentral:rRNA from 1 species
UACGAAGGGGGGCUAGCGUUGCUCGGAAUCACUGGGCGUAAAGCGCACGUAGGCGGAUUGCUAAGUCAGGGGUGAAAUCCUGGAGCUCAACUCCAGAACUGCCCUUGAUACUGGCGGUCUCGAGUCCGGGAGAGGUGAGUGGAACUGCGAGUGUAGAGGUGAAAUUCGUAGAUAUUCGCAAGAACACCAGUGGCGAAGGCGGCUCACUGGGACGGUACUGGACGCUGAGGCGCGAAAAGCGUGGGGAGCGAACAGG